rnacentral:lncRNA from 1 species
AAAAAAACCUAAAAACUGAAAAGGUAAAUUUAAAUUGAGAUUUACCCAAAGUUAUUCAAACCUUGAACUUUGGAGCCUAACAAAAUCGUCUUGACCCUAUAACAAAAAGGAGAGAGAAAUAAUAAGAAAAAUGAAAUAAAAAGCACAAAGAUUUCACAGAAGAUGGAUAUGAAUGGUUGGCAAAAGCCUUUUGAGUCAAGAAUCUCACCAAAUUAAUUCAAAUAGCAUCGCAUGUGAAGAAGGCAGGGCAAAAAAAUGGGAAGUAUAAGAUUCGGCCACAUAACUAGAGGAGAUGGGGAGUACAUAUAAUAAUAUUGUAGCCACAACGGAAAAAAUGGGAAUAUACGUGGGAACUGGGAAGUUACUGCUUGGUAGUGGGAGAACUUCACCGUUUUUUUUUAACUGACGACAACCUCUACUCAUUUUCUCCCACGUUGGUUCUUAAUUUUUUUUCUUUAAUAUAAUUUUGUUAGAUAUUAAUAUCUCCUCCUAAAAUGGAGGAGAUACGUUCAUGUUCUUUUCUUCUUCUUUUUUCUUUUUUUCCAGUAAAACAAAUUUUAAUUCUCUGUUUAAUAUAUCUCUCCUAAAAUGGAGAGCAAUAACGUUGUUUUUGUUUAAUAUAAAUUUCUUAGAUAUUUUUUUAAUAUAAUUUUGUUAGAUUAAUAUUCCAUUUCUGUUGUCUUAUUUCUUUCUUUUUAUUUCUUUUUUCAAUAUAACGAAUUUUAAUUUUUCUGUUUAAUAUCUCUCUCUCCUAAAAUGGAGAGCAGUUAUUCACCAUGUCGUUUUUUUACUUUAUUUUUUAAUAUUUCUCUCAUAAAAUGAUGUCUCUCUUUCCUCUCCAUAACUGUUAAUUUUUAGAGGAUAAUUGUCAUGUUUUUUUUUUAAUUUUAAUUUUAAUGACCAUGUUUUGGGGCUCUCCUUCCAUAUAUAUAUAUAUAUAUAUCGAUAUAGAUGACGAAAUCGAAAAUGGAGGCGGAUAAUUGUCAUGAAAUUUUUUUUUUUAAUUUUUAGAGGAUAAUUGUCAUGGAAUUUUUUUAUAUUUUAAUUAUUAGUAUUUCCAGUUUCCACGUUUGAGGGGUUCAGCACGUUCCCUUAUGUUUUGUUUU